CCGGCCCAUGGUUUGCUGUUGGCCAAACCUGGUUCUUUUCCUUUGCUAGACAUCCAUAUGUGGGCAGAUAGACAUCAGGUCUCCUGGUAGAAGACUGUGGACCACUCCUCUGGGAACGGAUGAGGGCUCAUCAUUUGGGAGUAGUCCUUUCCUGAGAGAUUCUCAAGGCAGAAGCACCUCCCCAUGAUUUCUCCCAAAACAGUUCCAGCUGGAAAAAUUUGCACUGAUUUCUAACCCGUCCUUUGAACUAGCAACAGCCCCCCAGGGACUUUCUUUACAAUCACAGAGCCUUGUGUCUUUACCUGUAAUUACAGAAUUCUCCAUUUCUGUUCACUGUAUCAUGGAAGAUAAGAACAAGACCACUCUCUGGCAGUCACUCCAGAUCUCAGAAAGGGACUCCAAGCACUGACAGAAAGCACACAGGACUAAGGGAAGCAGAAAGGAUGAAAGCCAGACUUCAUGCAGAACUGCUUGUCUCAGUAGCAGACGUUGAAUGUCUUUGGGAAGCUCAGGUGUCUGCUGGACAAGGACACAGCCCUCAAGAGGUGAUCUCAGGGGAUGGAACUGGCAGAACUGUGAACAUGUCUCUUGCCUUCUAGGCAGUUCUUCCAGGACAUCUCUCCCACAGAAGAGAAAGAUGAGGUCGAGGUGGGGGAAUGCAGGCAGCUCUGCUCUCUUCCAUGUGCAUCCUACUGGCUGCCUCCCAGCCUCCUAGUCCCUGGGGAUUUUCCGGUCUCUUUGGAUGAGAACAAUCAAUCUCCUGCUUCCAUCCAUCCCCCAUUUCUUCCCAUGUAGGCUGAGGUCCAGACCCAGCUGAUGCUUCCUCCCAGUCCUGCCUCCUCAUCCUGCCUCCACGAUAGACACAGGCAGUCCUCACGGACUCCCAUCCACAACAGUCAGGGCAAGCCUGUGCUUUUUGACUCCUAGACAUGCUCGUAGGUGGGUGUAACAUGUCUCACAGUCACAUGGGUCCUACACCAUAGGGAUACGGGACCUGUACUGAAGAGGAGGGUACACUGCUGGCACUGGCACAGUCAUGUCCAGAGAGGGAGCUUUGACAGCUUGUGAAUGGGCCAGGAAGCACAGGACCUCACCCCAGUCUUUGGGGAAUGACAAAAAUGUCUCUGACAGUGGCUGGGGUUGGGAAAAUAGAGAGACAGGAAAAUGGGGACAGACCUGCAGGCUGCAUGACAUUGUGAAAGAGCCUACUACAUGAGCAGGAUCUGUUGUCUCUCUGAGUCAGUCAGACCCUUGCAAAGGGAAGCAAGCCCACGUGUUCAGGGAAUCCCAGUCUGCUCCACAAAACAUAGGUGAAGGAACUGGAGGACUGGGCCCCAAACACGUGCAUGCUACUUCUGAAGAAGAAUCUGUCCCAGGAAAGAUCCCUGCAGCCCUCUCCUUGCUUCUGUGGGGAAGGAGCACACAUUUGCUCCUCAGCCGUACCAGGGAUCUAUGUCCAGGCUGUCCUUGAACGUGCAAUCUUUCUGCCUCAGCCUUUUGAGUGAGGAGCUGAGAUUACAGGUAUGUACCACUGUGCUUGGUUGAUUUAUUUUUAUAAGUCUUAAUGUUGGCAUUAAUAUCUUGAGUAUUAUUAUAGAGUUCUAUUAAUCAAUAUCUAAUAAGGUAAAUAAGUAAUUACAGUAAUGGUGUUAGAAUCAAGAUUGUUAGUGUAAGAGAAGAAAAGUUAAGUAAAAAUUGCUAAUCUUUAGCCUGAAUUGGAAAUAAUAGCAUGCAUUCAUAUAUAUAAUAUACACAAGUAUAUAUAUAUAAAAAUAUACACAAGUGUAUGUAUAUAUAAUAUACACAAAGUGUAUGUACUAUAAUAUAGAUGUUAGAUGAUUGAUGAUCUGCUACUAACAAUGUUCAGAAACAGUGACUAGUCAACAACGUUAAAUACCCUUUCUAUCUAAAUUGUGGUCCCAACUAGUAUUUCUUACUAAAAGGGACAAAGACUCUUCAGAGAAAUUCUAGGUCUGGGACAGGGUAGCUUGUCAUGCGUGAGAACAAGGAAGUUGGGAAACUCAGAGUCAUGUCAACUUGAGUAGUUGACAACUCAGUAGUCAACUUGAGAAAACUUUCAUUGACUAAAUGAAAUAAUUACAGAAUAAACACGAAUAAUGAUGUAAGAUAUGGAGACAUUAAACAUAUUAAAAAGCCCACAAUUUCAUAAUGAUAAUUUUAAAAAUCACAGGUCACCUUUAGACAUUGAUAGGGCCCAGUAGCUGAUUCUGCAAAUCAGUAGGGUCCAGCAGAUUCUACUGAUGCUCCACAUAUUCCCUUCACACUCAUCUCAACAAGCUAGAGACUGAGAGUGUCUUUCUGCUGGCAGAGGAGUGCCUGGUGUUACGGAUCAAAAACUGGCAGUCAAUUUAAAGCCAGCUGAAUUAAAUCAUCAUGGUGCUGAGCAUAGAUGGUCCACCUGAGGUAAGUUGCCAGCAUAAAUAGAGAUGCGGAGUGACCAGUGAGGCGUUGUGGGUUCUCCUAUGUGCUGCUGUUUGAGCUGUUGGUUUUCCUGGAGGAGCUUGUCAUGACUAGCUUCCCCAGUGUGAGUUUGACCAUUGGCAUCAGAGGAGCUCAGGACCUUGUUGGUGAGAGUGGCUGUGGUUUACUUUGGGGAAACUCUGGUCCUUACAUCAAGCAUCGCUUCCUUGCUCUGGAGGGGAAGAUGUUUGCUGCUUAAUCUCUAGGAGAAACUUGUCACGCUCACUUUCUGGCAGAACUCUUCUGUUCUUAUCAUCAGAGGAGCUUGGGACCUCCGGGUUAUUGAGGAUGGCUGUGGUACUUUUCAGGACAGUCUUGGUCUUUAUUAUGAGUGUGACUUCUUGGCUCCAGUGUAGAACCCUCAAUCUACCAGCAUAGCUCCUUCAUCCUGCUGGCAUAAACUUGCUAGCUUCCACUGCUGACCUUUGGACCUUCCUAGCACACAUCCAUAAAACAGACUGGCAGAGUCCUUCUUGUGGGCUCUAGACCUCUAGUUGGACUUGUAGUAGGCAUUGUCAUGGGCUCUAGGUCUUCAUCUGGACUCAUGCAGGACAUUGCUGUGGGACCCAGGCCCUAUUUAUAUUCUGCGUCUCUAGUGUUCUGGACAAAUUUCCUGCACUUUCUUUUGUUUAAUUCUGGGUGACCACCAUAAAAUAAUACUAUAAAUUCUGUGUCUUGAUUCUAAUUUUUCUGCUCACAAGCCCUCACUACAAUACCUGGCCUCAGUGCACACAAGUGAGAGCACCCAACAGUCAGCUCCCCUUGCUGAAACUCACCCAUGAUAGAGGGCACCAGUCAGUUAAUACCUCAGCCCAGUUACUUUCUGCAGGUUCUCUGCUGUCCCCCCCUUUCCUGCCAGUUUUGGGCCCCACUUGCCCACAGCCACAGCCUAUUCAAUUAUGUGCCUUUUACUGACUUCCUUUCACUCUUUCACUGGCCAUCAAGAUCUGGAAAUUUUCCAAGCCACCAUGUCCUGAGGAUACCCAGGCACAGAGCAAAACAAAGUGAUGUGUUUGUGAUGGGGCAUGAGUGCAUUCAGAGGACAUGAACAAGCCAUAUUCACAAGUAGCCCAGAUCCUAUGUUAUCUGGCUCCAGGGAACUGUAUUAGCUACUUUUCUCUCCUUGAUGAGACAAAAAUACCCACGCCCAGAUUUAAAGGAGAAAAGGUUUAUUUUGCUCACAGUCCAUAUUUGGCUGGCUCCAAGGCAGACUGGCACAUGGCAGAGGAGCAUCACAGAGGAGAAACAGUUCAUGAUACCCACAAGGUAGCAAAAGCAACAAGGGAGAGAUCUUGAUAGCAACUUUCUGUCCCUUUUUCUGUAGCUAGUUACUGGGAUUGGAGCAGUGCCAAACCAAUCAGUGGAGUAAUUUAGUAAUCACAUAGCCUUAAUCCCAGCAUUAUACUAUGAAUCAGUCACACACUAUAGAUCCAGUCACCUCUGCAAAACCAUACCUAUGACCACAUGAGGCUUUGGGGGACAUCUAAACACAAGCGAUAACAGAUACCCAUAGUUCUCUCUCAGAUCACCCAGAAUUCUUGGGGAGUUUCUAUAUGAGCAGAGAGGAAGUAGCCUAGGCCAGGUUAUGGAUGAGUCUGGUACCUGGAUAUGACUACAUGUGGACUGUUGCUGUACCAUAAUCCCACCCAUGGGGGCCUGGGAAGAUAGGAUGAGGGAAAAUCCUUCUGGGGAGAUCUUCUCUCUGUGACAGAGGUGAUUUGGAAGUAAGGGGACUCUGGGGCAGUGCAGUGGCUUGGUGGCCUGUUAGAGGCCAGGAAAGCAUAAGACAGAAAUUUGAAAACAAAGGAGCCUGGGGCAAGGUCUAUGGAUGGAUUUAUAGGAAAAAGCACAUGUAUCUCAUGUCUAUUAUGGAACCCUCGCUGCAGAAGAGGCAUUGAACAGAGUGGGACAGAAGAACUCCAGCAGACAACAGCCAUCCUUUGUCUUGCUCCGAGCCUGGGCUUGCAUGAUAGCCAUGAGUAGAGUGAUUGUGGCAGUUGAUACGGGGACUCUGCAGACUCACCAGCAUGGGCUUUCUCUUAUCUGGCUCACCAAGCUACUACAUGCUGGGCAUGUGGUCUGUCAGCAGCAGAGACAUGCUGGCUCCUCAACAAAGGAGACAAGCCACUUGGUCAUCUGUUGGUUAUAAUGCACCUCUUUCAGUCUGGGGGGAAGUGCAACAGGUCCUCUCUGGGAUUAGUGCAUAUUCUGAUAUGGAUCUGCUGUCUCCGACCUAGUACUUUGGCCAGAAUCUAGGGCACAAGGUAAUGGCUUACUCUCAUGAGAUUUCUUAUAGUUUAUCACCUCCAAGCAAAAUGAUUCACUGCCCAAUGAAAGAAAAGUGACUAUGGGGAUGUGAGACUGUGCUACAUCACUGUGGAUCUGACAGCUUGGUGGUACAUUACAAGGGCUUCUUCACAGCACAUUCAAAACCAGCUUGGGAGCAAGGUCCUCUGGGAUUUUCUUGUCCUCCUUCAAUGAUCCGGCCCGCAGAUCAAUCCAUGGGGUAUACCUGGAGGGGGGACGGGGAUGAAUAAAACAGGGUGGGAGACAAAGAGAGAUGGAGACAAGUUGAGGAGUCCAAUCAAGUCUCGCUUAUUCAGAAAAUGGUUGCAGCUUUUAUGGGCCAAGGGCAGGCUGGUGGGACAGGAAGAGGCUAUGGGGUGGUUUCUGAUAGGUCAUCGUCACAUCUGGAUAUGUGACGUAAGCAGGAGAAGAUUAUGGGUAAUAUAGGCAGGCGCAUUAUGUGCCCAUAGGAGAGAGAGGUGGAGAGGCAGCAAUGGGGCUGUCACGCCGCUCCCUACACUUCAAAACACAGAAUAUAUUUUGAGUCAGUUAGCUCUUACACUGUGCUGUGUCCAAGAUGGCUAGAAAUCAAGGGUGCAGGAAUAGAGGCAUCACCAUCUUGGUAUCCCACUGGGAAUUUGUGCUUCUAGUUCCUAUUCACUUGGGCUCUGCAGAGCCCUGGUCCCUGGAGUGGUAGAUGCAACAGCCAGAGAUCAUGGAGCCAUUUUGUGCACUUCAUGCCAACUGGCUGGUAGGCAAAGAAAAGAAUUCUGUGACAGGGACACCCCAUGUGCCUGCCCAUGAUAGCAAUCAUGGCCUGUCAGGAGCUUGGUAAUGAAAGGAGUGAAAUUGUCUAUUAGGAAAGCUCCAUAGAGCAACAGAAGGAGCCGAGGGGAGGGAAACGGUUACAGCCUAUGAAACAAUCACAGAAUAUUUACUGUGGUUUGAUCCCGUUAUAAAAACUUCUUUUAAGGAAUUAGAACUUGCAGUCUGCUGCUACUUGGCUGCAUCAGUGAUACGAUAAAUUGAACUAACCUAAAGCACACAGGAUUCAGGAAGUCCAAAGCGCUGUGACCCACACUCUUCAGCACUCACCCCUGCAGGGAGCAGGUGCAUUGUGUCAUCUGUGACUCUUACUGAGGGCUUUUUUUCUGGGUGUAGGGUGGCAUGUUUGGGCUCAGAACAAGCCAGGAAGGCCUCAUGGCACAACAGUAAUGUGUCUGACUCCAGAACAAGCCAGGAAUGCUGAAGAGUUAAUGUCCUAGAGGAUUCCUCCAGUAAGGGGAGUCGACAGAUCAUGCCCUGGUUUCUUUGCAGUCAGGUGGGUUUCUCUGGGUGGCUUCUACAGAGAGCAGAGAUUCCCAGCAGGAUUAGGCCGCCACUGUCCACCUGCUUUUUUCCCAUACUCUCAAUUGGCUUCCUUUAUUUUCUGUUCUUUCCAGUCCUCUUCCAAUGACUCUGAACAUCACCUCCCAAAUAAAUCAAGCAUCUUCAGAUUCCUAAGAAGAUCUACUUUUAGGGAGCCCUAAAACAAGUAGAAGCAUUAAUCCUACCAUCUCUAAAUGGGUUAAAUGUCAGGGUAACAUAAGAGUUGUUGAGGGCAUUUUUUCUUUUGAGAAGGCUACUUGGACUUAAACCCAGGAAAUCUCUACAACUGAGCUAUGUUCCUAGCCCUUUAUUUAUUUAUUUUUUUGACACAGUAGCUCAUUAAAUUGUCUAAGCUGGUCUCAAAUUUGUGAUCCUCCUGCCUCAGCCUCCCAUGUAGCUGGGAUUAUAGGUGUGUGCCAUUAUACUCAGCUGGGAAAUGUGUCUUUAUAAAUGAUUAUCGACCAAUAAACAAAGCAGAAAUGACAAUGUUAAAAAAAUCUCCAUUUUUUUACUGAAAUAAUGGAUCUAGACAAUGACCAUCAGUAGCCUUCAGAUAAGGUGUUGAUGGAUAUGGGGUCCAAUGGUGGCCAUGUUCUGCUCAAUGAAACCCAUGAAUAUUGCUGUAUUUGGAAAAAGACAUCUUCAUACAUAUGUUUCAUUAACAUGUCCCUUAACUCCCACCAUCCUGGGUUAACCAAGUGGGAAAAGUCCAAGGCAAGGUGUCCUCUUGAGAGAUGAAGGGGGACACAGACACAUGCAGAAGAGGAGGCAGAGUGGCCACAGAGGCAGAGAUGGGACUGACACAGCAAGACAGCUAAGGUAGCCGAGGGUCCCGUAGUCACUGAGAGCUGGAAGGUGCAAGGGAGUGCUCUGUCUUGAAGCGCCUGAGCCUACUGACACCACAGUAUUAGCCUUCUGCACUCCAGAACCAGAACCAGCCUUUUUAUUUAUUGUCUAUAUUUUUGAGACAAGCUCUCCUUAUGUAGCAGAAGAUGCCCCUCCCCCAGCCAGUAUACUUCAGUUUGUUAGCUGCCCAGGUGAUACUUCUGGUUAUAGUUCUGUUACUUUUGUUUCUUACAAUUCUUCUCCUAGAGGUAUGAGCCAGGACUCACCUCUGGGUCUAACCACCAAGCAUGCUCCUGCCACUCCUCGGCCACAUAAAGCAGUUCAGGAGCCUGAUAGAGUCACCCUGGCAAGAUGCCUUCAACAAUGUAGCCAUCAUCUUGUGGCUGUGGUUCCUGACCCUACACCCUUUGUGGACGGUUACCUCCAGAUCCCACCUGGUUUACAUGUCUAGUUUUAAGUAACAUUUUAAUACAUUAGACUUUUUUUUUUUGGUACCUGGGAUUGAACUCACAACCCCGUACUUGCCACACAGGCACUGUGCCACUGAGCUAUAUCCCCAGCUGCAUGUCUAGUUUUAAAAGAUGCUUUCCUCUGCUUGUGAGUUGCUCCCUUCAACUGGAAAAUUCUGAGACAAGAUGCAACUCAUUUGGACUCGGUUGCCACAAAGGGUUAAAAGCUCUCCCACUAUUUUCAUGGAGGCUCUAAACACAGAUUCAGCCAAGCCAUCAGCACCUUUUCUCCAAGAUGACCUGUUUCUCCGUCCCUCCUGCUUGCUGUCAUGGUACCCUGACAAAAAAUAAUAGACUUUCGAAUUGCUAAAAUACACCUCUCCUGCCUGUAAAGCCAGCUCAAGGUCUCCAACCGCCAAUGCCAUCGUGAUUGCCCUCCAUAUAGGUUUCCUCACUCUCCUGCCGCCCACAGCCUACUGAUGCACCUGCCUGGGCCUAAAGAAUGCCUUUUCUGCCUUCAGUUGGAUCCUGUCAGCCAGUCCCUGUCUGCAACUGACCCGGAAUCAAUCUCCCAAUGGUUCAAAAACUUGUCUCCUCCUUGAAAAAAUACUUCUCAUUAAUGAUACUCAAGCUGCCUGUUGAAAGACAGCUCUGCUAUAAUAUCUGGUAGAAACUGGUUAUAAAGAAAAAAACUGCAAGUUUCUUGAAGCUGCUGGCCUCUGUAGAAUCUAGAUCCUUGAGUUCACAAAAACAAUGAUGCUUACUCAGAAUGUCAGCUCCUGGGAGCACCCAGUGGCCUACCUGUACAAAUACUUAGAUCUGAUCACUUAGGGCUUCCACGCGUCCUUGCCACCAUGCUCGUUAGCCACUGUCCUUCUCAUCAAGAAAACUGACAAUCUCACCUUAGGUUGAGAACUAACUGUCCAGGUGCCAUAUGCAUCGGACCUCCUGAGCAAUUGUAGACUACUACAGAUGCUGAGUACACCCUGUUUACAGAUGGAAGUAGCUCUGUUAGGAAUAAAGUCCAGCAGGCUAGAUAUUUACCUUGGACAAAGUUAUUUUGGCCAAAGCUCUCCUGCUACUGCUUCCUGCUGCUGUUCGGAAACCUGCCACCAACACCACCAAACCUGUACCUGUAAGCCCCCUCCAGAUGUCCAACUGACUGAAACAUCAACCCCAGGUGGAAAAACUUUAUUUACCCAGUUCUCCCAGGAGAUCAGAGCCAGACCUGCCCACACCAUUUUUGCAAGCUCAAGCUGCAGCGCUGACACCCGCACCCCUGCAGCCAGCUCAAGCUUCAGCAUCUGUGUCACUGGCCCUGAUCUCAUUCAAUAUAGUGGACUUUCCCCAUUUGAAGAUAUAUAGACAGAUUACACAAAAGUAAAACCUUACAGGGGUUAAAAGUAUCUGUUAAUGCUCAUUUGUAGUUACUUAGGUUGGCCUAAGACAUUCUCUAUCUGCACUGAAAAGGUAACAGUUUAUAGGGUCCUGCCACUAGCUAUACCUAACACUCCUACACACACAUAUAACCCAGGUUUAUAUUAAUUACCUCUACAAGUUUCAGAAAUCCAGCCUUAAAUUCACUGGAGAAUUUAUCUGGACCAGACAACUGACUCUAAAGAGAUGGUGCACUCAAAGGUCUGCUCUGGCCAUUCUGGACACUGACCAGUCCAUGCAGGGCUGAAGCCUGAGGAUACCAUUUAUAGGAUUGCUCCAUAUCUAUUAUCCUUAAUUUUUGUGUCUUUUCAGGCUGCUUACACCAGUCCUUGCUUCCCUGCCCCCCACUAGCUGUGGUUUUUUGCCUUAGUUCUAUGGAUGAUUGACCUUAGUUCUAUGGAUGAAGCCCUAUGGAUGAUUGAUCCAUAGUUCUAUGGAUGAGAGAAUAAAAAAUAACCAGUAAGGCCCUCACAAUUGAUAAAGAUUGGAUGAGCAUCCAAGGCGUGUUGGAUACUCUCUUAGAUCAGAUUAACUCCUUCAAUCCCUUGUCAGAGUCAACUUAGGGAGAAACCCUAUAAGCGAAACAAACCACAAAGUUCUGGUGGGAAACUUUCAGUCUUGAGGGCCUUGGCUAGGGCCCAUCCCAGGAUCACUGAAAAUCCUAAUGUUACUGCUACUAGUUGGGCCCUGUCUCAGAUGAUCACAUAUAAUUUGCCCGGCAAAGAUUUGCUGUUGAAACUAAAAGAGGAAGAAAACAUAGCAGAAGAUGCCCUCACCCCAGCCAGUAUACUUCAGUUCAUUCGUUCCCCAGGUAAUAGUUCUGGUUAAAGUUCUUGUUACUUUUGUAGUUACUGCAAUGCAUAGGUGGUCUUUAUGAUAUAUGUUGUAAGAGCCAGUCCCCAGUUGACAAGCCAUCCUGCCUCUGUAGUUCCUGCUUGCUUAUCCCAUAUAAGCCCUAGGCAUCAGCGAUCAGGGCCUGAUAUUUUGGGAAUAAUUCCAUUCAGUGCCUGUCAACAUAAAAUAAAUCUGCCUCCAAAUCCUA